GGACGAACGCUGGCGGCGUGCUUAACACAUGCAAGUCGAACGAGAGUUAGAUUGAAUGAGUUUUCGGACAAGUGAGAUUUAACGAAAGUGGCGAACGGGUGAGUAACACGUGAGCAACCUGCCUUACACAGGGGGAUAGCCAUUGGAAACGGUGAUUAAUACCCCAUAAGACCACAAUACCGCAUGGUAAAAGGGUAAAAGGGAUACCGGUGUAAGAUGGGCUCGCGUCUGAUUAGCUAGUUGGUGGGGUAAAGGCCUACCAAGGCGACGAUCAGUAGCCGGUCUGAGAGGAUGAACGGCCACAUUGGAACUGAGACACGGUCCAAACUCCUACGGGAGGCAGCAGUGGGGAAUAUUGCACAAUGGGGGAAACCCUGAUGCAGCGACGCCGCGUGAGCGAAGAAGGCUUUCGAGUCGUAAAGCUCUGUCCUAUGAGAAGAUAAUGACGGUAUCAUAGGAGGAAGCCCUGGCUAAAUACGUGCCAGCAGCCGCGGUAAUACGUAUGGGGCGAGCGUUGUCCGGAAUUAUUGGGCGUAAAGGGUACGUAGGCGGUUUUUUAAGUCAGGUGUCAAAGCGUGGAGCUUAACUCCAUUAAGCACUUGAAACUGAAAGACUUGAGUGAAGGAGAGGAAAGUGGAAUUCCUAGUGUAGCGGUGAAAUGCGUAGAUAUUAGGAGGAAUACCGGUGGCGAAGGCGGCUCUCUGGUCUGUUACUGACGCUGAGGCUCGAAAGCAUGGGUAGCGAACAGGAUUAGAUACCCUGGUAGUCCAUGCCGUAAACGAUGAGUGCUAAGUGUUGGGAGGUUUCCGCCUCUCAGUGCUGCAGCUAACGCAUUAAGCACUCCGCCUGGGGAGUACGACCGCAAGGGUUGAAACUCAAAGGAAUUGACGGGGGG
rnacentral:rRNA from 1 species